GAUGAACGCUGGCGGCGUGCCUAAUACAUGCAAGUCGAGCGAAUGGAUUAAGAGCUUGCUCUUAUGAAGUUAGCGGCGGACGGGUGAGUAACACGUGGGUAACCUGCCCAUAAGACUGGGAUAACUCCGGGAAACCGGGGCUAAUACCGGAUAACAUUUUGAACCGCAUGGUUCGAAAUUGAAAGGCGGCUUCGGCUGUCACUUAUGGAUGGACCCGCGGUGCAUUAGCUAGUUGGUGAGGUAACGGCUCAACAAGGCAACGAUGGGUAGCCGGACGGAGAGGGUGAUCGGCCACACUGGGACUUAGACACGGCCCAGACUCCUACGGGGGGGAGCAGUAGGGAAUCUUCCGCAAUGGACGAAAGUCUGACGGAGCAACGCCGCGUGAGUGAUGAAGGCUUUCGGGUCGUAAAACUCUGUUGUUAGGGAAGAACAAGUGCUAGUUGAAUAAGCUGGCACCUUGACGGUACCUAACCAGAAAGCCACGGCUAACUACGUGCCAGCCGCCGCGGUAA
rnacentral:rRNA from 1 species